rnacentral:rRNA from 2 species
AACCGCGAAUGGCUCAUUAAAUCAGUUAUGGUUCCUUGGAUCGUACCCCACUACUUGGAUAACUGUGGCAAUUCUAGAGCUAAUACAUGCAGCAGAGCUCCGACCUUCGGGGACGAGCGCUUUUAUUAGACCAAGACCAAUCGGGCCUCGUGUCCGUGAAACGUGGUGACUCUGUAUAACUUUGGGCUGAUCGCACGGGCUUGUCCCGGCGACGUAUCCUUCAAGUGUCUGCCUUAUCAACUGUCGAUGGUAGGUUAUGCGCCUACCAUGGUCGUAACGGGUAACGGGGAAUCAGGGUUCGAUUCCGGAGAGGGCGCCUGAGAGACGGCGACCACAUCCAAGGAAGGCAGCAGGCGCGCAAAUUACCCACUCCCGGAACGGGGAGGUAGUGACGAAAAAUAACAAUACGGGACUCUUUUGAGACCCCGUAAUUGGAAUGAGUACACUCUAAAUCCUUUAACGAGGACCCACUAGAGGAAAAGUCAGGUGCCAGCAG